rnacentral:rRNA from 1 species
UACAGAGGGGGCAAGCGUUAUUCGGAAUUAUUGGGCGUAAAGGGCGCGUAGGCGGCCUGGCAAGUGGAAGGUGAAAUCCCUCGGCUUAACCGAGGAACUGCCCUCCAAACUGCUUGGCUUGAGUCCGGGAGAGGUGAGUGGAAUUCCCAGUGUAGCGGUGAAAUGCGUAGAUAUCAAGUGGAACACCAGUGGCGAAGGCGAGUCCCUGGACAACUCCUGACACUGAGGCACGAAAGCUAGGGGAGCAAACAGG